rnacentral:piRNA from 1 species
UAACUAACUGCCCUCACACUGGCUCACAC